rnacentral:rRNA from 1 species
GACGAACGCUGGCGGCGUGCUUAACACAUGCAAGUCGAACGGAAAGGCCCCCUUGUGGGGUACUCGAGUGGCGAACGGGUGAGUAACACGUGAGUAACCUACCCUUGACUUUGGGAUAACUUCAGGAAACUGGGGCUAAUACCGGAUAGGAGCUCCUGCUGCAUGGUGGGGGUUGGAAAGUUUCGGCGGUUGGGGAUGGACUCGCGGCUUAUCAGCUUGUUGGUGGGGUAGUGGCUCACCAAGGCUUUGACGGGUAGCCGGCCUGAGAGGGUGACCGGCCACAUUGGGACGGAGAUACGGCCCAGACUCCUACGGGAGGCAGCAGUGGGGAAUAUUGCACAAUGGGCGGAAGCCUGAUGCAGCAACGCCGCGUGCGGGAUGACGGCCUUCGGGUUGUAAACCGCUUUCGCCUGUGACGAAGCGUGAGUGACGGUAAUGGGUAAAGAAGCACCGGCUAACUACGU